UCAACCUAAUAUCCCCAUGAUCAAACAAGUUCUUGUUUUUUUUAUCAUGUUUAUAACACAUACUUCAUGAAUUCCGUGUCGGUAUUAUGCUAUUUGAGAAAGUAUUGUUUAAAUAAAUACUAGGACUUCACUAAUACUUGUAACCACAUAAUAGAUGUGACACCCCCUGGACACUGAUCUCUAUAAAAAAUCUGGAUACGUCAUUGGCUCGCCGCGCUGACGCAACCGGGCGUCCAUGCCCCCACUCCCAUCCACCACUCGAUGAACGCUAUCCUCCAUAGUGCAGAAAAACUGCCAGAAAGCCACCGAGGCAGAGAAACUUCACCCAGAAGCCACAGAAGGAGUCCCAACAGGCAAUCCAGAGACGCCAAGCCCAAAGUCAUCGCAUAUAUACAAAGACCAUAGCUACUCUACACUGCAAAGCCCCCUAACAGUAACGCGAAGAUUAUACAUUUUAUAUGACCAUGUGAGUAAUCUAAAUAAGAAAGUAAAGACACUGCAACAGAUGUCACUCCGACCGAGUAAAAAAGUCACCAAUCUGCAGGAAGUCGGAAACACGCUAAGGAAUGAGAACCGAGUUUCAGCCAAUGCAGCAGAUAUGCUCUCUAAAACUUUUUCUGAUGUCCCAGCAGAUGUGAUGAAAAGAAUGGUGGCAAACAAGUUAAGCGGGAAACUGAGUAGAAAAACCUAUCCUCCGGCACUGAGAGCAUUUGCACUAACUUAGCACUUUUAUAGUGCAAAAGCAUAUACAGACACGUAAGGAAAUCCUUUGAUUUUGCCCUUCCUCAUCCAUCUGUGAUCAAGCGAUGGUACAUGGGAGUGAACGGAGAGCCAGGAUUCACGAAGGAAUCAUUCUCUGCAUUGAAGAUCAAGGCAGA